rnacentral:rRNA from 1 species
GAUGAACGCUGGCGGCGUGCCUAAUACAUGCAAGUCGAGCGAACGGACGAGAAGCUUGCUUCUCUGAUGUUAGCGUCGGACGGGUGAGUAAAACGUGGAUAACCUACCUAUAAGACUGGGAUAACUUCGGGAAACCGGAGCUAAUACCGGAUAAUAUUUUGAACCGCAUGGUUCAAAAGUGAAAGACGGUCUUGCUGUCACUUAUAGAUGGAUCCGCGCUGCAUUAGCUAGUUGGUAAGGUAACGGCUUACCAAGGCAACGAUGCAUAGCCGACCUGAGAGGGUGAUCGGACACACUGGAACUGAGACACGGUCCAGACUCCUACGGGAGGCAGCAGUAGGGAAUCUUCCGCAAUGGGCGAAAGCCUGACGGAGCAACGCCGCGUGAGUGAUGAAGGUCUUCGGAUCGUAAAACUCUGUUAGUAGGGAAGAACAUAUGUGUAAGUAACUGUGCACAUCUUGACGGUACCUAAUCAGAAAGCCACGGCUAACUACGUG